CAGCCGCCGCGGGAAUACGUAGGGCGCAAGCGUUAUCCGGAAUUAUUGGGCGUAAAGAGCUCGUAGGCGGUUUGUCGCGUCUGCCGUGAAAGUCCGGGGCUCAACCCCGGAUCUGCGGUGGGUACGGGCAGACUAGAGUGAUGUAGGGGAGACUGGAAUUCCUGGUGUAGCGGUGAAAUGCGCAGAUAUCAGGAGGAACACCGAUGGCGAAGGCAGGUCUCUGGGCAUUAACUGACGCUGAGGAGCGAAAGCAUGGGGAGCGAACAGGAUUAGAUACCCGUGUAGUCCCUGUCUCUUAUAC
rnacentral:rRNA from 1 species